rnacentral:rRNA from 1 species
AUGGAUUCCAUCUUGGCUAAUGGGACAUGGGAGAUCACUGAUCAUCCUUAUGGUUGUCGACCAUUAGGAUGUAAGUGGGUGUUCAAAAGGAAGCUUAGGCCCGAUGGUACUGUUGAGAAGUACAAGGCUAGGCUUGUAGCCAAGGGUUAUACCCAGAAAGAAGAAGAGGAUUUCUUUGACACUUAUUCACCUGUGGCUAGACUGACAACCAUUCGAGUGUUACUCGCUUUGGCUGCCUCGCAUGGUCUUCUCAUUCAUCAGAUGGAUGUUAAGACAGCUUUCCUUAAGGGAGAGCUAGACGAGGAAAUUUACAUGCAACAGCCGGAUGGCUUUGUAGUAAAUGGUCAGGAAGGUAAGGUGUGUAAGCUAGUGAAAUCUUUGUAUGGCCUGAAACAAGCGCCUAAGCAAUGGCAUGAGAAGUUUAACACUACUCUUUCAUCUGCUGGCUUUGUUGUGAACGAAGCUGACAAAUGUGUAUAUUAUCGCUAUGGUGGGGGCGAAGGAGUUAUACUGUGUCUGUAUGUCGAUGACAUACUGGUAUUUGGGACCCACCUCAAGGUCAUUGAGGAGGUCAAGUCUUUUCUAUCUCACAACUUUGAGAUGAAGGACCUGGGUGUGGCUGAUGUUAUCCUGAACAUCAAGCUAUUGAGAAAUUCUGAGGGUGGAAUUACACUUUUGCAAUCCCACUAUGUUGAGAAGAUUUUGAGCCGUUUUGGAUAUUCGGACUACAAACCUUCUGCAACACCAUAUGAUCCUAGCGUGCGGAUUCGAAAGUUCAAAGGCACGACUGUAGAUCAAUUGAGAUAUUAUCAAGUGGUUGGUUCACUGAUGUACCUAGAAUGUGCUACUCGUCCUGACAUCUCGUUUGCUGUGUGCAAACUGAGCCGGUUUGUUUCCAAUCCGGGAGAUGUGCACUGGCAUGCUGUUGAGCGAGUGAUGCGUUAUUUGCAAGGUACUGCGAAUUAUGGAAUUCACUAUUCUGGGUACCCGACGGUACUUGAGGGGUAUAGUGAUUCGAAUUGGAUAUCUGAUGCUGAUGAGACGAAAGCCACUAGUGGACAUGUCUUCACACUUGGUGGUGGUGCUGUUUCCUGGAAGCCUUGCAAGCAGACGAUCUUAACCAGAUCGACUAUGGAAGCAGAACUCACAGCAUUAGACACAUCAUGCGUCGAAGUAGAAUGGCUUCGAGAGCUUUUGAUGGAUUUGCCGGUGGUUGAUAAACCAGUGCCGGCUGUCCUUAUGAACUGUGACAAUCAAACAAGCAUUCUUUGGAGGAACACACCUAUGUGA